UACAGAGGUCUCAAGCGUUGUUCGGAUUCAUUGGGCGUAAAGGGUGCGUAGGCGGCGCCGUAAGUCAGGUGUGAAAUUUCGGAGCUUAACUCCGAAACUGCAUUUGAUACUGCGGUGCCUGAGGACUGGAGAGGAGACUGGAAUUUACGGUGUAGCAGUGAAAUGCGUAGAUAUCGUAAGGAAGACCAGUGGCGAAGGCGGGUCUCUGGACAGUUCCUGACACUGAGACACGAAGGCCAGGGGAGCAAACGGG
rnacentral:rRNA from 1 species